rnacentral:tRNA from 1 species
GGAACAGUACUCAAAAGAGGCUGAAGAGGCGGUCCUGCUAAGACUGUAGGGGAAGCAAUUCCCGCGGAGGUUCAAAUCCUCUCUGUUCCGCCA